CCAUUGCACUCCAGCCUGGGCAACCAAGCAAGAUUUUGUGUCAAAAAAAAACAAACAUGUAUUUAUUUUAUAAUUAAAAAUUAAUUAAAAAAAAUAAAAAUCAUCUAGGGACUGUAACAUGUGAUCCUGGAGGGAAUUCUGGAACAGAAAGAGACAUUAGGUGAAAACUAAGAAAAUGUGAAUAAACGUAUGUGAGAAUUCAGCACUAGCUUUUCAGUGUUUUUGUAAUAUCUAAAAUUGUUCUAAAAAGUAAAGUCUAUUCAUUAAAAAAAAUUCAUCUAGGGCAGUUGAGUUAAUAUGAUGUAGAUCCCUGGGCUUCGUCUCCAGAGAUUCUAACUCAAUAGAUCUGGGGUGAAGCCCAGUCAUUUUCAUUCUUAUUAAGCCUCCCAAGAUGGUUCAUUGCUUUGGGUUACCACAGGCAAAGAAAGAAUCAAAGAAAAUGCAACCACACUCAUUUGGUUAACACAGCUGAUUACUAAAGUCUCUUCCCAGCUCUGAUGGAGAAGAAAGGAAGGGGCAGCGGUGGUGAGGAGCCUGUUUCCACUCUGGGACGGCUGGUCCAGAAAACCCUAAGCCCCAGUGUAAGGCUGGGCUCAGGGGAGCAGCCCCAAGAAGCCGCCAGGACAGGAGGCCGCCGCCCUCACUACCCAUUGCUGUCAUUUGGUGUAUAGUUGUCCUGCGGUUUUUAGCUGUAUUUAAACAGUGUUUAAUAUAGAAGGACUCAAUUCCAAGAGUAGACUUUUAGAUACUCCUCAAAACAUACUAUAUUGAGCACUAAGAUUUUGACUAUGCCUAAUGCCAGCCCUUGGAAACAACUGUUUCCAAAUUGGUCUCGUGCUAUCUGAACUUCACUGCCAGCUGCCACCAUUGCCCAGCCAGAUUUGGGAUCCCAUGGCCAUAGAGCGCCUGGCGGCACUAGGACCAAUGUCAACAUGUGUGUGGCUUCAGGGACCCCAGCCGCACACACUAGGACUUUUGCUUUUGAAGCGGUUAGCAUAGAGUUUCCAGAAGGAAGGAGGAAAAAAAUCCACCAUCUGUACUCUCAUUUAUCUUACCCUUAAAAUGGAAGGAAGUUGGUAAACAAGAAAGAAAGCCAGAAAACUAAGGAAGGAGGAAGCAAGCUAGAAUAUUGAUGUCAGGGGAUAAUUUUAGAUGGAUGACACAGCUGGAGUCCAUGGGAACUGUUCAAAGGCCUGGAUUCAGGAACAGAAAAGAGGAGAGAGGGGAGGAGAAAGGAAGAAACAGGGCAAAGGGGCUGGAGUGGAAAGAGUUGGAGGUGGAAGAUGAAUGGUGGAGGGAAGGGAGCAAUAGCUGGCACUUCUUGAGCAGUAUGGUCAUAACGUCCUCAUAUCUCACUUAAUGUACACGUCAGUCUUUGAAAUGAGAACAUUGAAGCUUGACUACUCUAAGCUGCCA
rnacentral:lncRNA from 1 species